rnacentral:rRNA from 1 species
AUUGAACGCUGGCGGCAGGCCUAACACAUGCAAGUCGAACGAGUGGCGGACGGGUGCGUAAUGUCUGGGAAACUGCCCGAUGGAGGGGGAUAACUACUGGCAACGGUGGCUAAUACCGCAUACCAUCGGAUGUGCCCAGAUGGGAUUAGCUAGUAGGUGGGGUAACGGCUAACCUAGGCGACGAUCCCUAGCUGGUCUGAGAGGAUGAUCAUGCACACUGGAACUGAGACACGGUCCAGACUCCUACGGGAGGCAGCAGUGGGGAAUUUUGCACAAUGGGCGCAAGCCUGAUGCAGCCAUGCCGCGUGUAUGAAGAAGGCCGUAGGGUUUUAAAGUACUUUCAGCGAGGAGGCGUUACUCGCAGAAGAAGCAUCGGCUAACUCCGUGCCAGCAGCCGCGGUAAUAC